rnacentral:rRNA from 1 species
AUACGUAGGUGACAAGCGUUAUCCGGAUUUACUGGGCGUAAAGGGCGUGUAGGCGGUCUUGCAAGUCAGAAGUGAAAUUCCUGAGCUCAACUCGGGCGCUGCUUCUGAAACUGCAGGACUUGAGUGCUGGAGGGGAUAGCGGAAUUCCUAGUGGAGCGGUAAAAUGCGCAGAUAUUAGGAAGAACACCGGUGGCGAAGGCGGCUAUCUGGCCAGUAACUGACGCUGAGGCGCGAAAGCGUGGGGAGCAAACGGAAUUAGAUACCCGGGUAGUCCACGCCGUAAACGAUGAAUACUAGGUGUAGGGGGUAUCGACUCCCUCUGUGCCGCAGUUAACACAAUAAGUAGUCCGCCUGGGGAGUACGGCCGCAAGGUUGAAACUCAAAUGAAUUGACGGGG